rnacentral:lncRNA from 1 species
AUUCCUAGUCAAAUGUACCAAUUCCUUGCCUGCACUCUCUCCAAGCAGAAAAAAGUAGACGACGAAAAAAGGUAGCUUGCUUUGCAACAUUAAGUGCCUAUUUUCCUUUAAUAAGGCACACUGGCAGCAAUUAGAAGACAAAGCCAUUAGAUGAAAUUUGUUUAGUCAAAUUAGUGACAAGCCUGUGUCAAAACACGGGCUCCCCGGGGCCCUGACCUCAGCAGAGGUUUUGAGGCCGGAUGAUUGAUGGAGCUCCCAGUCCCCUGUCGCCUUCACCAGGCUCUGGGCUGGCUCGCUCGUGAGAUGAUCUCAGCUUCCCAAGGCCCGUCGGUUAUCAGAGCAGAGCCUCCCUGCUGCUGCGUGGCCGUCCUCCGGCAGAGCUCCCCGGGGCUGGUGCACCAUUAGGCACCACGUACCUGGUUUAAGCGAGCGCCCGCCUCGCGCACAGCCUGCAGCAUCCUCCCAGCAUCAGCACGCACCGCUAACGCAUGCCGGCAUGCAGGAAGAAGCCUUCCCCGUGGAUCUGUUGCACCAGGAUUUCGGUGAGAUCUGCGCUGGGUGUGCCCGCAGACGCAGCCACUCACUCGGCCUUCAGUCAGCUACAAAAGCAAGCGAGCACUUAACUUACUGCAUGCCUGAGGUAUUUCAAAAGGAUUUUGGUGAGGACCUCCAGUGCUUUGCUGUGCCCGCUUCUGAGAGGCUCCUGCACACACGGCUGCACAGCGAUACAGUGCCACGCUCCCAGCUCCUGGGGUUAAUUGGCCCUUUGCAUCUCUGGGGCUGCUUCCUCCUUUAAUAGCCAAUUAGGCCUUAUUAGCUACGUUGCCAUUUACAUCCGAGGCUCUCCGCAGCAGUCCGGGAGCUACAGAUUUGCCCCGGUAGCCUUUCUUGCAAGGCUGCACGACCUUUUACAGCGCAAGCUGACCGCUCUGCUUAGCUUGUGGCCUCGUUGCUGCGGCACCCCUCCUGGCCAGCCGCUCAGAGCACGUCCAUGGGGGAACCUACCUGCAGGGAGCCCGAAGGAAGACCCAAAAAAGCUUUAACCCAUGAAGAAAGAGGCCGAUCCGUUCUGUGCACCUCCUAAUGGGCCUCAGCAAACCUGCACAUGGUCAUUUAUUAAGUGGGCCACUGUCUGCUCGUAGCCACCCGCCACAACAUGUUGACAUAGUGCAGCACAGAUCAAUAGAAAGAGAGCGAGAUAAUGGCAAUUGAUUUUACCCAUGUAAUAAAGUUGUUGAGUCUCUGAUUCA